AAAAAAAAAAAAAAAAGCUCUGGAUUUGGAUUCAAGAGAACUGAUUUGAGUCUUGCCUCAGGAAUUCUUCUGGGUAUUUGUGGGUAGAUUAGAAAUGCUCUGAGCCUCAGUUUCCUUAUCUGUAAAAUGGGCACAUGCUUUUCGAUGAUCAAGUGAUUCCUGGGACCCAUUAAAUUCCCCCAGGCAGGCUGGGCACGGUGGCUUAUGCCUGUAAUCCCAGCACUUUGGGAGUCCGAAGUGGGCAGAUCAGUUGAGGUCAGGAGUUCCAGACCAGCCCGGCCAACAUGGUGAAACCCUGUCUCUACUAAAAAUAUGAAAAUUAGCUGGGCAUGGUGGGGCACCCCUGUAAUUCUAGCUAGGUGAGAGAAUUGCUUGAGCCCCAUCAGGGGUGGUUGAGGGGGCAGCGGCAGAGGUUGCAGAGAGCUGAGAUCGCGCCACUGCAUUCCAGCCUGGGCAAUAAGCGAGACUCUGUCUCCAAAAAAAAAAAAAUAUUCCCCCAGGCAGCAGUUGAAUCAUAAAUAAUCAAUACCCAAAUCAGUGAGGAAGAAGAGAGAAUUGUGGCUGUAGUAUUCAUAUAGUUACGUGAUUUGGGCAGCAAGUAACAGAAAACCUACACUGGCUGGGAAAAAAAAGGAUAUUAAUUGUGUCAGCAGGAUAUCCCAAGUUAGGGAGGAUAUUAAGGCUGAUAAAUUCAGGGUCUCUGUGAUUCAUUAAGGACCCAGUUCUGUCCCUCAUGUACUCCUUCAGCAUUUAAGUAUGGAUUCCAACCACGCGUCAGGCACUGUGCGAGGCAACGCCCGCCUGGUGUGCUGGCUUUUUUGUUACACCAGCUUUCCUCAAGGACACAAGAUGGUGCCCUUGAUCCAGACAUCACAUCCAGAUUCAGUCUCAUUCAGUAGAAGGGAAGACAGCUCUUCCUGUCUCUUUUUCCCUGAAGUGUCCUAGCUGGCCUCUCCUCUUGUAUUAUUGACCAGAAUUGUGUCAUGUGUCCCACGCUUCAGCCAAUCAGCAGGCAGGAAACAGCAAUUGGCCUAAAGAAGCAGAUGGCGAUAUGGAGGAAGGAAGUGACUCCAGCCAGGUCUGGGUUCUAUGAGAAAGAGGAUGUGCGAAUUGAUAUUGCCUAGGCAACCAGUAGCAUCUACUACAGUCCUUUUUGCAAAUGUCCACCCUCCACCCCAACAUUGUCAUCAAGAAUGGCUGUGGCUCAUUCUGGGUCUGUGAAGAGGUCACUUCUCUAGGGGCGGAUGGGAUGGGCCUGCCAACAAAAUCAAAACACCCUCCCAACUCAAAAAGACUCAGUAACUUCUAAGGUGAGUGUUUAAUUCAUUUAUUUUCAUUAUUUUAUUUUAUGAGACAGGGUCUCACUCUGUCGCCCAGACUGGAGUGCAGUGGCAUGAUCUUGGCUCACUGCAACCUCCGCCUCCCAGGCUUAAGCAAUUCUCUUGCCUCAGCCUCCUGAGUAGCUGAGAUUACAGGCACAUGCCACUAUCUCCUGGCUAAUUAUUUUUAUUUUUUUAUAAUGAAAUAAUUUUGGCUAUGAAUUUUCCUAUGAGUACACUUUUAGCCAUGUAGUAAGUUUUUCCAACUGUGAUCUUUCUAAAUAUUCAAUGAUUUGGAUAUUGACUAUGACUAAAUAGCUGUGUGGGGGAACUUAAAAAUCUGCAAGUCAUUGGGAUUUUGUUUGUUGCAGUAAAAUCUUAAAGAUGACCUUUCCCAAUGUUCUCAAAGUGUGGGACAUGCGCUGGUGGUAUGCCAGAAUAUUCUCAGGUGAUACAAUGGACAUAGGAUCACACUUAAAAAACCCAUAUUCUCUUUUCAGUUCUGUGUAUUCCCUGACUGUAUCAAGGUCUCAGUUUGGUGCUUCUGUGUUUGAAUGCCUUCCCAACAUUCACUAAUCUUUGUUUUCAAAUAGAGAAAAGCCUUAGGCUCAGAACCUCUGGAAGGACAUGGUAUCUAGGAAUAACUUAAAAACAUUUUAAUUUCGUGGCUGGGCAUGGUGGCUCAUGCCUGUAAUCCUAGCGCUUUGGGAGGCCAAGGCAGGUGGAUCACCUUAGGUCAGGAGUUCAAGACCAUCCUGGCCAACAUGGUGAAACCCCAUCUCUACUAAAACUACAAAAAAAAAAAAAAUCAGCUGGGUGUGGUGGUGUGCACCUGUAAUCCCAGGUACUCGAGAGGCUGAGGCAGGAGAAUCACUUGAACCUGAGAGGUGGAGGUUGCAGUGAGCCAAGAUCGCGCCACUUCACUCCAGCCUGGGUGACAGAGUGAGACUGUGUCUCAAAAAUAAAUAAAUAAAUAAAAUAAAAAACAUUUUAAUUUCAUUUUAUUUUUAGAGUAAUAAAGCCUUCUCUUUAUGGCAAAUGAUACAGUUUUCUAGAUAAAGUAGUGGUCUCAAGUGUAGUUUACAAGCAAGUCAUUUAAUAAUAAAAAUAUAGCUUAUAAAAAAAGAAUACUUAGAUGAUUUAAGGAACUAUAUUAAAUGAAUAAACGUUCAUGGGGAAAAUUAUGACUAUGUUAUAGAAAUGAUUGAUAUUUGGGAAUCAUUAAUUUAUCCCAACUCUAUAUCCACGCUUGAUCCCUUUUUACCACCAAGCCUACACCUCUCUGUUUGCAUACCUCCUGUGACAGGAGGUUCAUCGUCUCUGAAGACUGUAAAAAAGCAGCAUCCUUAGUUUAAAUGCCCUUCUCCGUUCUCCUGACCUGUGUGCCCUUUGCAGUCUAACUUUGUGAUGUCCUCCCACCGAGGGCAAAGCAUAAUUUCCCAUACCCGGGGUUGAGCAUGUGACUUGUCUUGACCAAUGGGAUGUUAGCAGACAUGCCAGGGCCAGCCCUCAGGAAGAGGAUAAGAGACACCCAAGUCACCCCAGGCAACCUAGCUGAGAUCAGAGGAACCCGGCAGCUGCAUGAGAAAUUAAUGUUUUUGGAUACCACAGGUUUUUUAUGAUUGUGUGUGUGUGUGUGUGUGUGUUUUAAGUGCAGGCAGCAAUAGCUAAUGGUUACAGACACUAGAAGAGAGAGUAAAUAGAACACAGGCAGGCCAAAAAAACUAAAUGUCUACUAUAUUCCGUAUUAUAGAUGAGGAAACAGGUUCAAAGAGAUGAAGACUCUUGCCCAGGGCACCUGGAUGCUAAGCAGUGGAGUUGGGACCUGAACCCAGGCAUUCUGUCUUCAGAACCCAUGCUGGAGAGAAAGCGCUCUGGUCCCUGGGCAGUGAGAGGAAUCCAGUGUCACUGAGGACAACGAAGUGAUCUUUGUUCAUCCCAAGCUUUUGAGAUAGAAAUAAGAGGGAGGGCAGUGAUGGAGCCAGAGGUCAGGAUGGGAGAGGCACUGACUGGUGGAGACCCAAGCCCCAGGAUUGAGGGGUGGAAGGCUGGCUCAGGAGAGGCCAGGCUGGGAGUCUUGUGUUCUUAGAGGGAAUCAGAGAAAGGGGGAAGCAAUAUGGAUAAGGCAACUGCCAUGUGUUAGACGCCGUGCUCAGUGUUUGGGAUUCAUAAUCUCAGGAACCGUGUGCGGGAGCUCAUGAACCAGUGUUUGUACCAUCCUAGAAAUCAUGCCCCCUCUUUGUUACAACACCUGAGCCAAUCACCAUGACUCUCCUUCCCUUACUAGGUAUCGGUGUGGGAAUAGCCAUGUGACCCAGUUUUGCCCCAUGAGACAAGCGGGGAGGUCUGCUGGGGGAGGGGGAAUUCUGGGAAAAGUUUCUGGGAAAGUAAGAGAAAUCUAGGAAAAGACUGUCCUCUCUGUUGCUGGUCACUAUUGCAUCUGGAUGUGAUACCCGGAACUGCAGCAGCCACUUUGUGCCCCUGAGGGGCCUUGACAGAACACAAAGAUGAAAAGGACAUUGGUCCCUGAUGACACCAUUGAGCUGCUGCUUUAACCAACUGUGAGGCCACCCUGCCUUAAGGCUUCUUAUGAUUAUUCCAGAGAAUAAAUGUUCUUUCUCAUUUAAACCAGUUGAGUCAGGGGGAUUUUCUGAUAUUUGGCCCAAAUCAUGCUGAUACAAGUACAAAUUUGUAUCCCCAUUUUACAGAUGAAGAAAGUGAGACCCAAUCAAGUAAAUGCCCAUGACUAAGGACACAUAGCCUGGAUGUGGUGGAGUUGAACCUUUCUAGGGCGUGGCAGGAUUUUUUUUUUUAAAUAUACUUAGUGUUUUUGGCCUUUCCAAAGCAGGCACACAUUCUAUUUCUCCAUAGCAGCAGGCUGUAAUGGCUGCUAACAGGUAAGGGCAGGAGAGGUUGGGGUUUGGAGCGGGGACUCAAACCCAGGUCCGCAGAUCUCAGCUUAGGGUCUUCUUAGCACCUCAAGGUUCUUAGUGACAUUAGGGAGUCCCCGUUCUGUUGGCACCGCUUAGUUUUGGGGGUACACCCCUUGGAUCCCACAGAUCUGCCCUUGGCUAGCACAGGGUAAGGCUGCUGAGGUCCCGGAGAUUGGUCACCAGGGGCCGCUGUUGUCACACUCAGGGGCCUCCUCAGAGGGGUUCAGAAGGAAGCUUGGAACCUGGGGAUGUGAUCAGGAAGACUCCCUGUGAGCACCCUGUUGGGUGUGCCCUGAGGCUUUGAGACAGGAAAUAUCCCACCCCCACCCUCGUACCCUCACCCCAAGAAGGAGAGAAGGUGGCCUCGACUGCCUCUGGAGCGUUCAGGACCAAGUUGCUGUGUGCCUUCAGGCAAGUUGCCUCCCCUCUCUGAACCUCAGUUUCCUCUCUUUCAAAAUAAGAGUACUCACCCCUACUUCUCAAAUGUGGCUUCUUCCUCUUCCCUGAGGGCCUUCCCCUUCUUUUGUGCCUAAUUCAAUAUGAGGGACAGGACCAGUUAGGGCGUACUAGAAAUGAGACCCAGCCACCCAGGUCAGGGUUGGGUUCCAGUCCUUGCUCUGCCACAAACUCAUUAUGAGUCCUUGCAGUGUAAUUGGGGAAACUGAGGUCCAGAGAGGAGAAAGGACUUACCCAGUUUCCCCAAUUGCAAUACAAGAGGCAGGACUCAGCAUUUCCUGAAGUCUUGUUUGUUCCAUGGGGUGUAAAUAGGUGGAAACAAAAACUUAGGUGGUCAAAAAAGUUAGGGAAAUGCUGGGUUAAAGCUAAAAGGGGGCUGGGCGUGGUGGCUCAUGCCUGUAAUCCCAGCACUUUGGGAGGCCUUCAAGGCAGGCAGAUCACUUGAGGUCAGGAGUUUGAGACCAGCCUGGUCAACAUGGCAAAACCCCAUCUCUACUAAAAAUACAAAAAUUAGCCAGGUGUAGUGGAGCAUGCCUGUAAUCCCAGCUAAUCAGGAGGCUGAGGCAGGAGAACCACUUGAACCUGGAAGGCAGAGGUUACAGUGAGCCGAGACUGUGCCACUGCAAAGAAGUUAAAAGGGAAUCUUGCCUGCAGGAUCUGUUAGCAUCUUUAAUAUGUUAAUGCGAUUUGUGUAUCUCCAAGAGCCGGGAUAGGCAUCUGUUUCUCAAACUCUUUUGACUGGGAAACCCACUUUCCAAGGUGACUUGGAAGUCAGCUGCACUAGGCAAGGAUGGGAAUACUCCACCUUUGUUAUAUGUCUUUUACCUAAUGGCUCUGUGCUACCCAGGGGAUUUGACCACCUGUCUCCUAAGUUAAACCUCACAUGGUACAUACAUUAAAAUAUUAGCCUCAUUUUAUUUUAUGAGACGAGGUCUUGUUCUGUUGCCCAGGCUGUAGUGCAGUGGUGCGAUCAUGGCUCACUGCAGCCUUGACCUCCUGGGCUCAAGUGAUCCUCCCACCUCAGCCUUCUGAGUAUCUGGGACUACAGGCACACACUACACCCAGCUAAUCUUAAAAUUGUUUGUACAGAUAGGGGUCUCGUGAUACUGCCCAAGCUGGUCUUGAACUCCUGGGCUCAAGUGAUCCUCCAGCCUUUGCUUCCCAAAGUGCUGGGAUUACAGGUAUGAGCCACAGCUCCCCGUUGGAGCCUCAUUUUACAGUUGGGAAAUAGAUGACUCAGGAGUGAUCACUUGCCUGAGGUCACACACACCUGCACACAGCCUCAGGAUGGAACGAGUUCUGACCCUCAGACAACUACAUCCCACAGCACUCAGAGGGGUCCUCUUACAGGACGAAUCUGCCCUAUCAUCCUGACCACACAUCACCUGAUGCCACCUCACUCCUCCAGGUGCCACCACUUCCUUCAACAGAUCUGGAAAUUGAGGCUCAGAGAGGCACACAAGUCACCCAGGGUCACACGUGGAGUCAGUGGGAUACUAAGUUCCGUUUUCUUGCCUCCUCCCCUCCCCCUGCCACUCGCUGGCGAGCUGGUGAUGGUGGCAAUUUAAACAGAAAACCUUUCGUCCCUUGCUCUCACCUAUCGCGCUGGCUGGACUCCACCUUCUCCGGCCAACGUUGGGGGUGGGACGGGGUGUGGGCCCUUUAAGAGCGCCCGGGAGGGAUGGGCAGGCGCAGUGGUGCUGGGCACACGUGGAGCUGCGCGUGGAGGAGUCCAGGCUGCAGCCGAGGGAGCUGAGUAGGGCAAAGUUAGGAGUCGCUGUUUGGAUGGCAAGUUCAGAAGUUGGAACUUGUCUCAGUUUCCCCGCUCCAGAAAUGGGGUUGUGAUAUAAAGACAGGGAUAUGAGUGAAGAAAACACAGAGCCACCCUGGAAAGGUGAGUGUCUACUAACAUAGCUUCCUCUAUCCAAAUCUGCGCCUGAGCCCCCGUGGCCUUCUGGGGCAGCUCUGAUCUCUCUGUAAGGUCACCUGUCUCUGACCUGGGGUGAUCUUCUAAUGGUCACUAUGACAGGAAGUGAUAGCCGAGGUUUUCUGCACACCAGGCUACCGUAUUGGACAGCUCCGUGGUAAAGGGUGUGAGCCCAGGACAGCUAAGUAGAGAGAGAAGGAUCCUAGUGUCAGAACAGAGACCUAGAGAAGGACUGCAGCUCCUGCCCGGGGCCUGGAUGAGAUGGUGGCUUCUCCUCUCUUUCUCCCUCACCCACCGGGAUGUCUGGGCAGUUGGGGCUCUGGGAUCCAAGGCUGUGCCUGGGUUCUGGAGCCAAAUUGGCCACAUUUGGCGGUUGACAGUUGUUUUCUAUUCUCUGCAAAGGGUUGCAGCUGGGAACUAGGACUCAGAAUCAGACAGGCCUGUGUUCUAUCCCAGCCACUUCUCCAUUCUUCAUCCUCAGCUGUGUGACUUUGGGCAAAGUGAUUGCCCUUCUGUGGGUCUCACUAACCUUGUCUGUAAUGUGGGUGCAUGCACCUCUGUUGCGCCGAGUGGUUGUGAGGCACAAGUAACGUUUAGCCCCGAGCCUGGUAUCUGGUCUGCCUGUAGUUAAGUGUGGGAUCUCAGUAAUUGUAGCAGUGAUAGCAAUGCUUUCGUCACCUGUCCUCCCCCCAUCAAUGUGGUAAUCAAAGGUGAUUGAUUGUAUAAAGAAACCAUGCUAGAAUGGCCACCGGAGGGCACUUUGAGAUCAGCCAGCCCAGUUCCUAGAUGGGGAAACUGAGGCCCAAGGAGGCACAGGUAGUCAGGGCUAGAGCCCCAGCUGGGUUCCUGGGCCCAGACCCAGACUGUGCCAUGCGCCCCUACAUUGCCACGCACACAGACCCCACCCUGUGGAGGAUGAGGAGGUUUUUCCAGGAUAGCAGGUGCAUCCUUUGCUCUGAUAUCCAAAUAUGAGGGACCGGGCAUGGAGAGUGGCUCCAGCCUCUCCCGUUUCCCCUCUCCUGAUGCCCCAGUGUGGGUACGCCUGGCAGUUGACCAAGGACAUGGGGACCUGGGUGACCAAGUUGGUGCUUGGGUGGCCCCAGUGGUGACACCUGGGAACAGCUGAGACAUAGGCCACCUCCCAGUGUAACACCUGGCCCUAGACCUUGGUUUCCUGCCCCACUCCCUCCCCGAGUGCUCACACUGUGCUUUUGUCUGCUUGAAUUCCAUCUCUGGUUCUGGUGCCGCCCCCCCUUGGGAAAUGGAUUGGUUAGGGUCACUCACGGUGGCAUUAUCAGGAUUGGAACCCAAGUCUAGCUCACUGCAGAGGCUGGGCCUGCUGGGCUUGCCCCGUCCAGGCUCCCCCGGGUUCCGGCUGCACCCAGGCGGGCUUUGAUUAUGAAUGAGGGUGGGGGUGGGGCUUGCAGCCAGAACACCUCGCUCCCUCUCAACAUCCUCGUGGCCGUUGGUCAGGUUGUGUCCUCAUCUGUAAAAUGGGCCUGAUUUUAUCAUCUACCUGAUAGACUCAAGUGAGGUCAGAAAAGCACUCUGUCAAUUGCAGUUUAUACUAGUUAUGUCCUAUUUGUGAUGAUUCCCGGUUGCCUUCCAUGGAGCUCUGCUUUUCCCAGCUCCUCACCCUGCAGGGCCCGGCUCCUGCUCCCCAGGGGCUGGGGUGAUGUGCUUGGCUCAUUGACCCAGUGCAGAAGGGCCUGGGUCCCGCCCUGGACACAGUCCCUUCCUCUCGGAGCCUCUGUUUCCUCUUCUGUGGACUGGGUAGCAUGUGCUGCCCGACGUGGAUGCCUGGUCUCAGGGAGGUGGACCACCCACCACAGAGUCGAAUCCAAGGCGUCCCCUCUGUCCCCAUCUCUGCCCUGGACUUCACCAUUGCCAGCCACCCUGGCAGGGCUCUGUGAAUGGGAGGGGAGGCCUGCCUUAGCCGGAAGUUCUCCAGUGCCUCCGGCCCUGAUAUUGGGCUAGGAGGCUGGGAGAGAAGAGCUGGGAGGAGGCGAAGGCAGGAACGGGACACAGGGAAGAGUCCAUGCUGUGAGGUUUGAACCCUAGCCUCCCACAGAUUUGCUGUGUGACCUCGCACAGAUCACUACGCGUCUUAGUUUUUUCCUCUCGAACGCCUCCCACCCUGCAAGGGUGUUGUGAGGCUUUGGCAAGAUACAGUAUGUAGGAAAAUGCCUGGUGCACAGCCAAGGCCUAAUAAAUGCUGAGCUCCCUGGGGCAGCAGUGGUCUCCUGCAAAUCCCCAGGCACCAGAGCAGGGGGUGGGUGGGCACUGGGGUGUCUGGCCUGGCUGAGAUGGGGUUGGCCAUGGAGAUGGCUGCUGCCUAGCCACUGUGGCCUGUCCCCAGCCCCACUGCCACCAUGGCCCCUUGGAGCAUGCCAGGCACAAGGAAGAGCUGGGAAGAAAUUGUGAUGGAGGGGAGAUGCCCCCGCCGAGACCACCAUGAAGGGAAUGAGGAAGAGGGCCCCCGUUUGGUUCUGUCUCUGCUGCUCUAGGGAUCGACUGAUGGCCGUGACCUAGCAGCCAUCAGCCUGUGUGCUAAAUGACAAUGUCCAUCUUGAAAGAGCUGGAAUAGGGGAAGCACUGAGGGCAGGAUGCUCCACGCACAGGAGGUACCCGGAGGUUCCUGGCCUGCUUCCCUCCCGGGCUGCAAGCCUGGUCAGCUGGGAGGAGACAGCCCCUUUCACUCCUAAGGGGAGGAAGAAAGAAAACGAAAACAAGAGCUACAAAAGCAACCCGACAGCUGAGACACCAUCUGUGUUUUCCUUUUUCUUCUUUCUCUUCGUU
rnacentral:lncRNA from 1 species